GGAAGAGGAGCCCAGCCCUGGGAUUUUCAGGUGUUUCCAUUUGGUGAUCAGGACUGAACACAGAAGAUUCACCAUGGAGUUUGGACUGAGCUGUGUUUUCCUUGUUGCUAUUUUAAAAGGUAAUUCACGGAGAACUAUUGAAAUUCAUGGCCAGUGUAAGGUGCAGCUGGUGGAGCCUGGGGGAGGCUUGGUCCAGCCUGGGGGGUCCCUGAGACUCUCCUGUGCGGCCUCUGGAUUCCCCUUCAGCAGCUCUCACAUGGACUGGGUCCGCCAGGCUCCAGGGAAGGGGCUGGAGUGUGUCUCAUACAUUAAGUAUAAUGGGAGUAGCACAUAGUACUCGGACUCCGUGAAGGGCCGAUUCACCAUCUCCAGAGACAACGCCAAGAACUCGCUGUAUCUGCAGAUGAGCAGCCUGAGAGCCCAGGACACGGCCGUGUAUUACUGUGCGAGACACAGCGAGGGGAGGCCCGUGUGAGCCCGGGCACAAACCUCCUGCAGGGACACUUGGAGGAAUCAGCUGCAGGGGGCACUCAGGACCCACUGAUCAGAGUCAAUCCCACAGGCAGGUGCAGAUGGAGGCUGAUUUCCUGUCAGGAUGUGGGACUUCAUCUUCUUCUUACAGUUUCUCUAGUGAAUCUCUCCAAGUUUAUAAUUCUGUGUUUCCUAAUAUUAUCUCUACCUUUUUUAGAAAAGAUUGUUUUAACAUGAGGAUCUAUUCUCACAUGCACCAAACGUAG